GAUGAACGCUGGCGGCCUGCCUAAUACAUGCAAGUCGAGCGAACAGAUGAGGAGCUUGCUCCUCUGACGUUAGCGGCGGACGGGUGAGUAACACGUGGAUAACCUACCUAUAAGACUGGGAUAACUUCGGGAAACCGGAGCUAAUACCGGAUAAUAUAUUGAACCGCAUGGUUCAAUAGUGAAAGACGGUUUUGCUGUCACUUAUAGAUGGAUCCGCGCCGCAUUAGCUAGUUGGUAAGGUAACGGCUUACCAAGGCGACGAUGCGUAGCCGACCUGAGAGGGUGAUCGGCCACACUGGAACUGAGACACGGUCCAGACUCCUACGGGAGGCAGCAGUAGGGAAUCUUCCGCAAUGGGCGAAAGCCUGACGGAGCAACGCCGCGUGAGUGAUGAAGGUCUUCGGAUCGUAAAACUCUGUUAUUAGGGAAGAACAAAUGUGUAAGUAACUAUGCACGUCUUGACGGUACCUAAUCAGAAAGCCACGGCUAACUACGUG
rnacentral:rRNA from 1 species